rnacentral:siRNA from 1 species
CGAAGGGUGCUACAUAUCUCAUC